ACGGGAGGCAGCAGCUAAGAAUAUUCCGCAAUGGACGAAAGUCUGACGGAGCGACGCCGCGUGGAUGAUGAAGGUCGGAAGAUUGUAAAAUCCUUUUAAGCAUGAAGAAUAAUCAGGACAGGUAAUGGUCUUGAGGUGACGGUAGUGCUUGAAUAAGCAACGGCUAAUUACGUGCCAGCAGCCGCGGUAACACGUAAGUUGCGAGCGUUGUUCGGAAUUAUUGGGCGUAAAGGGCAUGUAGGCGGUUGUGCAAGCUUGAUGUGAAAUCCCCGGGCUUAACCCGGGAACUGCAUUGAGAACUGCAUGACUAGAAUUACUGAAGGGUAACUGGAAUUCCAAGUGUAGGGGUGAAAUCUGUAGAUAUUUGGAAGAACACCGAUGGCGAAGGCAAGUUACUGGCAGAUAAUUGACGCUGAGGUGCGAAGGUGCGGGGAGCGAACAGGAUUAGAUACCCUGGUA
rnacentral:rRNA from 1 species